rnacentral:rRNA from 1 species
UACGUAGGGGGCAAGCGUUGUCCGGAUUUAUUGGGUUUAAAGGGUGCGUAGGCGGUCUUGUAAGUCAGUGGUGAAAUCCGGCAGCUCAACUGUCGAGGUGCCAUUGAUACUGUAGGACUUGAGUACAGACGAGGUAGGCGGAAUUGACGGUGUAGCGGUGAAAUGCUUAGAUAUCGUCAAGAACACCGAUAGCGAAGGCAGCUUACUAGGCUGUAACUGACGCUGAGGCACGAAAGUGUGGGGAGCAAACAGG